AAACGACUCUCGGCAACGGAUAUCCCGGCUCUCGCAUCGAUGAAGAACGUAGCGAAAUGCGAUACUUGGUGUGAAUUGCAGAAUCCCGUGAACCAUCGAGUCUUUGAACGCAAGUUGCGCCUGAGGCCACUAGGGUAAGGGCACGUCUGCCUGGGUGUCACGC
rnacentral:rRNA from 1 species